rnacentral:lncRNA from 1 species
GGAGGGGUUGUCUGGAUCAGCAGAGCUUUCGGAGAUAAAGAGGUCGAGGCUCGAGGAUAAGCUCAAGGAUGCCAUUAUCUUCAGCGAGCAGGAUGCAGAGGAUGUGCAAGCCCGCACAAUGAUACGGUGGUUGUAACAGCAAAUAUUGUUGAUUUGAAUGUACAUCAUGUAUUUAUUAAUAAUGAAAGCUCGAUCAAUAUUCUCUAUCACUCUGUCUUCUCCCAAAUAAGAUUUACUCUGGACCAAUUGAGUAAAUUUGAUACCCCAA